rnacentral:rRNA from 1 species
UACAGAGGUCCCGAGCGUUGUUCGGAUUCACUGGGCGUAAAGGGUGCGCAGGUGGGCUGGUAAGUUCGAUGUGAAAGCCCCGGGCUUAACCCGGGAAUGGCAUUGGAUACUACUGGUCUGGAGGAUUGGAGGGGGGACUGGAAUUCUUGGUGUAGCAGUGAAAUGCGUAGAUAUCAAGAGGAACACCAGUGGCGAAGGCGGAUCUCUGGGCCUUACCUGACGCUCAGGCGCGAAAGCUAGGGGAGCGAACUGG